rnacentral:rRNA from 1 species
UGAGGAAUAUUGGUCAAUGGGGGCAACCCUGAACCAGCCAAGUCGCGUGAAGGAUGAAGGUCUUAUGGAUUGUAAACUUCUUUUAUACAGGAAUAAAUUGGGGGACGUGUCCCCUUUUGCAUGUACUGUAUGAAUAAGGAUCGGCUAACUCCGUGCCAGCAGCCGCGGUAAUACGGAGGAUCCGAGCGUUAUCCGGAUUUAUUGGGUUUAAAGGGUGCGUAGGCGGAAAGAUAAGUCAGCCUGUGAAAGUUUGCGGCUCAACCGUAAAAUUGCAGUUGAUACUGUUUUUCUUGAGUGUACAUAAGGUAGGCGGAAUUCGUGGUGUAGCGGUGAAAUGCUUAGAUAUCACGAAGAACUCCGAUUGCGAAGGCAGCUUACCGGGGUACAACUGACGCUGAUGCACGAAAGUGUGGGUAUCAAACA